GGUGCACACCAUUAAAGCUCAGGGUGCGGCCGGUCUUGGCCAGUGCCCCACUGGGUGUCGGAGGUGUGCGACAGCAGCUGCAGGGAUUUCGCUACUACCAGGAGAGCUUGACUCUGUGACUGGGGCUUGAUAGUGUCCGCUGCCACAGGC
rnacentral:snoRNA from 1 species